GCCGGGGUAGCUCAGCCUGGUUUGAGCGCCGGACUCAUAAUCCGGAGGUCCCGGGUUCAAAUCCCGGCCCCGGCA
rnacentral:tRNA from 3 species